GCCAUACCGCGUGGGUGAUGAAGGCCUAUCGGGUUGUAAAGCCCUUUUGUUGGGAAAGAAAUCCAGCUGGUUAAUACCCGGUUGGGAUGACGGUACCCAAAGAAUAAGCACCGGCUAACUUCGUGCCAGCAGCCGCGGUAAUACGAAGGGUGCAAGCGUUACUCGGAAUUACUGGGCGUAAAGCGUGCGUAGGUGGUCGUUUAAGUCUGUUGUGAAAGCCCUGGGCUCAACCUGGGAACUGCAGUGGAAACUGGACGACUAGAGUGUGGUAGAGGGUAGCGGAAUUCCUGGUGUAGCAGUGAAAUGCGUAGAGAUCAGGAGGAACAUCCAUGGCGAAGGCAGCUACCUGGACCAACACUGACACUGAGGCACGAAAGCGUGGGGAGCAAACAGGAUUAGAUACCCUGGUAGUCCACGCCCUAAACGAUGCGAACUGGAUGUUGGGUGCAAUUUGGCACGCAGUAUCGAAGCUAACGCGUUAAGUUCGCCGCCUGGGGAGUACGGUCGCAAGACUGAAACUCAAAGGAAUUGACGGGGGCCCGCACAAGCGGUGGAGUAUGUGGUUUAAUUCGAUGCAACGCGAAGAACCUUACCUGGCCUUGACAUGUCGAGAACUUUCCAGA
rnacentral:rRNA from 1 species